rnacentral:rRNA from 1 species
CCUACGGGGGGCUGCAAUUAGGAAUCUUGCGCAAUGGGCGAAAGCCUGACGCAGCGACGUCGCGUGACUGAUGAAGUCUUUCGGGAUGUAAAGGUCUUUUCUGGGGGAAGAAGGAUGUGACGGUACCCCAGGAAUAAGCCCCGGCUAACUACGUGCCAGCAGCCGCGGUAAUACGUAGGGGGCGAGCGUUGUCCGAAUUCACUGGGCGUAAAGCGCGCGUAGGCGGGUUUUUAAGUUGUGGGUGAAAUCCCGAGGCUCAACCUCGGAACGGCCUGCAAAACUGGAAGCCUUGAGGUAUGGAGAGGGAAGUGGAAUUCCAGGUGUAGCGGUGAAAUGCGUAGAUAUCUGGAGGAACACCCGUGGCGAAGGCGGCUUCCUGGCCAUAUCCUGACGCUGAGGUGCGAAAGCUAGGGGAGCGAACG